AGGGUCCCCGGGGCAGUGGGAUCCCUGGGGAGAGCCUGCGAGGGCAGCCAAGCCCAGGACGGCUGAGAUGGCCGCCCUGAGCCCUGGAGGGCAACACUGGGGCUCUGCCCGGGGAGGAUGGGGGUGAGGAAUGUGCUCCUGAUUUGACAAGGAAUCCUGCGUCCCAAGGAAGAAGGCACAGAUGCCACAGAGCCGCUGUUUGCCUUGCUCUCCUCCCAGCCUGUCACCAUCCCCCUCCACCAGGUGCUGGGAGGGCCCUGUCCUCCCCUGGACCCUGGACCCUAACAUGGAGUCGGUGGGUCUGCAUUAAGAAUUCUGGGUUAUCAACCAUCAUGAGCCGUUUCACAACCAGAGAACCCAAGAUAAACUGGGUCAGCUUUGUGUCACUGUGACAGAAGUACCCCCAAGAGCAACCUGGAGGAGGAGGGUCAGUGGGGCUCGGGGUUCCGAGGUUGGCGAACUCCGCUGCUCUGGGCCCCGGCCAGGCGGAGCGCAUGGAGGAAGGGUGUGGCCGGAGCUCUGCAGCCAGAGAGCAAGGGGAAGGGGCCACCGGGAGGAGGCCCCCUGCCAGGGCUCCCCCAGGGACUCGCCUGCCCCAGCUGCCACCCAGUGGGCCACUCAGACGAGGGUGGACGGCCCAGGAGCGCCCCCUGAGCACUCCUGCCGGGCAGCCAUCUGCAGGGCCACCUCCUAUCCGACGUGGCAGAGCGUGCUAAGUCUUGGCCUCCUAGACUCGGGGCCCAGGUCUGCUUAUACCACGGAUCCAGGUCACCACCCUCAUCAAGAGACUCGCAACGAAGCACCUCACGCGUGGACCCCCUCCCGGGCGGUCACCGUGGCCUAUGGUACUUGGCGGUUUGGGAAGGAAACAGAUCCGUGAAUUUUCUCGCCCCACCGCCCAGAACUGGGGUUGGACCCAGGGUCACCCUCCACUGAGCUGCGCCUCUGGCCCAGGAUCCUGCCCUGAACUUGGGAUCUUCCUGCUUCAGCCUCCAGCCUAGCCGGGACUGUAGCCCUGACUUGAAAAUGGUCGUCUGGACUUUUCUGUAGCAGUAGGUGGCCUCCUAAACCAGUGCAGGACACUCCCCGGCCUUUGGUGAUGGACAGCAGCCAGGACUCUUGGCUGUAAGCAACAGAAACAGGCACUGGAUGGGAGAGGGGGCCAAGAUGGCUGGCCAGCGCCACAGCGGGCUGGUGGUGACGCCCUGCAGCCUCCACUGGCCGUCCAGGCUCACGGCCCUGGAAUGGGCUCUCUUUGUGCCCACUCCUCUCAGAGCACGACUGUGGGACUCCUGGUGACACUGGGGCCUGCACUGCAGCCGUGAGGGGGGCUGGGCACGCAGGUUUAUCCAGCUGCCCCGGUGUCACUCGGUGCCUCUGAAGAUGUGGCCCACACUUUGGAAGGCAGAUGCCACAGUACCCUUCUAGACUGCCCGUGGCCAGUCCUCAGCCCAGCGGUCCACGGCACAAGAUCAGGCAGCGGGGCUGGGCAGGAAGCUGCCCGCAGUGUCCAUGGCUGUCUCCAGAACAUGGCUCCGUUCGCCUCUGAACCCAAUGGUCCUGGGUGGCUGUCCUGAGCACUGCAGGACCGUCAACAGGAGCCUGGCCUCCCCUUCCCGGUGCUGGGUGCACCCCUCCCCAACACGGUGACAAGCCAAGCUUUGUCCAGACGUUGCCAAGUCCCCUUCCAGCUGCGGACCACUGCUGUAAGUGGGGGGCUCCUUCCUUUGGAACGACAUCCAGGAUGUAAACACCAGCUGCUGUGGACAGGACAUCAACUCUAACGGAUCCUCAUGGGAACUGAGCAGUCUGACUCCCAAAUGCAUGUGAAAAAGCGACCCUCAACAUCAGGGUACUGUCCACACACAGCACAGUUCCAUGUGGAGGCAGAUGACCAGCUCAGAGCCCUGCGGGGACCCCACCACCCUGCGAUGGGGACUGGUCUUUGCAGAGGCUUGGCCACGUUCUGUAGUUACCCUUGAUUCCCCCCUUCACCCCACAUCCAAUGGAGGCAGCCCCUGACCCUGACUGUGGCUCACCCACCACUGCAUACCACCUCGGUCUUGGACGGGACUCCUUCUCGUGCCCAGCAAACACUGAGGAGUGUCACAGGAGUGUGGGAACGUGGCCCCCAGGCACUGCCAUCAACAGGGAAAGGAUGGUGGACAUGACGCUGGGUCUCCACCUCCUAGACCCAGGGCACUGAAGGCACUGGACUUUCUCCACCCAAGGCCUCACUGGAGGCCACUGGGCCUCUGUCUUCUCCAGAGAAGGCUCUUGCGGAUCUGCCUGGGGAGAGGAGGGAAGUCCUGGGGUGGCAGCCGCACUCUGGGCAGGUGGUGUGCUGCCCGGUAAAUGCAAACUUGGUUCACAGCUAGGUGGAGCUCCCUGGCCUCUCUCUCCCCUAGAGCUCCUGCCACAACCCGCCCCACUCAUUCCUGUCCCCGGCAAGUUCAGCGACUUUCAGAGAAGACUUUCAAGUCCUGCAGGGGCGAGCGCCUCUCUGCACCUCACCUGCAGCUCCCUCCCCUGUCUGGGCCCCAAAGGUUGAAGGGCGCGUCCAUGCACCCUGCAAAGCCAGAAGCCACAGGAGAGACGGACACGCUGGCCGAAUCCCACACACAGAGGACACCCUGGGGGAGACAUCCACAAGGCAAGUCCAGCAGCCAGUUCUAACUUGUGGACCUCUUCUACACAUCUAAGGAGGCACUAACCAGAGAGAAUCGGGAAGGGACACAAACACUGAGGAGGUGGGUCACAGGAGCUGCCCUGGAGAGGUGUGUCUUCCCUGCAACCCCUUCCCCAAACCCUCUGCUCCCUGGCCAUCAUGCACAUGCAACCCCUCGCCCUCCCACCAUGAUGCCCAGAGCAACGGAGCUGGCCCCCGUGGACUGAGUCUCUGCAACUGUGAGCCCAAACACACUCCUCGUCCAGGUUGGUCUAGUUGGUAUUUUGGUCAAUGCAGAGCUAACACAGCUGUCCACGCAGCGUUCCCUGGGUCAGGCAUGGCAAGCUGUCUGGAGAGGCGUUCAGGGGCACAGGCCACAUGCAGGGACACCCCUUCACACAAGGACUGGAGCGUCCUGGGAUUUGGGUGUCCUGGAACCAGUGCCCCAGGCACCGAGGGCGGCUGCGCUGUGCUCCCUUGGGUGUGUUUCCUGGAGGGUGACUGACGGUACCUUGGCUGGGGACACGGGGAUCAGUACCCUCACAGUGGUGGGCUUGGGGAAGGGACCAGGAGACAGGGAGGAAACUUCCUUUAUGUCUGUAUAUUGUUUCUAUUUCUUUGCAUGUUUGAUCUGUAAGAAAAAGAGCUGUGACCAGCACACGGAGGUCCCCGUCUGUCCUGGGCUGGCCGCUGUUGGUGCUCUGGGGAGCGGGUCUGUGUCCCUGGUGCUGUGCUCCUUGAGUCCCUGCUCCCUGAACGCGUGUUCUAGCACUGGACAGAGAACCUUCUAGGAACGACCUGCUCCGUGGCUGGAUCCUCGUGCCCUGGGACUGGGGCUUCGUGGAGGAGCGUAUGGGGCCCUGACCCACCACCACUGUGUCCGCCCAGCCUCUGGCACUGGCCCCUUCCCUGCUCUCCACGUGGGCCUCCCUGCCUGCAGGUGUGCUGGACGCACCGUCUCUGCAGUCACUAAAACACAAAAUCAGGACAUACCAUUCUUUCCUGAGACUGUCUUUUCUUUCCAACUUGACAUGAGUGCAGGUGUCCAGCCCACUGACCAACAGUUAAAUGGACUCCCUCCUCACCUCCCUUGGCCCCAACUCCCAUCUUCUGAAGCGUCCCCCUAACUGCCCUGAGCGUCCCCAGAGACCUGAGUGCUGCAGUCAAGGUGAGGAGCAGGUGUGCCAGCCACGUCCUCAAUGCUGCCUCGAGAGGCCCGGUGUCCAGGGGACCUCGCGGAUGCACCCUCCCUCUCCCAGAGGCCUGCUCUGCCAGACCCAGUGUGCGGGGGAGGGCUGCCGGGUGGAAGAGGGCCUCUGGAACCCGGGCUCUGGGCCUGGCCACCUCCCCACAGGCAAGAACACCUGCCGGGCUGGCCACGGCCUCAGACCCAGUGCCCCGAGGCCCGGCUGAGGACGCUACAGGUGAAGGGCACAGAGCAGCUGAAGAAAGCAGAGGCCUGGCUGGGGUGUCCUGAGGACGCCACAGAUGAGCUGCCUGAGGGCGGCUCCGUGUCCCUGUGCCCGGGCUCUUGUCUCCCAGGCAGGCAGCCUGCCAGGGGAACGGGACAGACAGUCUGCCCGAGGGCACCCAGGACCUGGCAGUGGCCACAGUGUCUGGCCGUGUCUCCAGAGCAGUGGUCCCAUCCGAGAGUCCUUGGGUCCGAGGAGCCAAACCCCUGCACUGGCCAUGUCAGCUGCUCGGUACUGACCAGACCUGGCCUGUGGGCUGCCUGGAGAGGAGGCCACAGCGCCCCGUCGCCCAUGUCACCUGGCCUCGUUGUCUCCCAGCACUAACGUGCCAUCGCCAGCUGCAAGGCCACACCUCAGUGACCACGCACCCCAGCCUCUCUCCUGGGCCUAGUACAAAACAAGAGGGGGUUUGAACCGGGGCUCGGCCCCUGCCAGGGUGCCCGGGAGACCCCGUCCUGAAGCCCUCCCAGCUGAAUGGCCACUGCUUCCCCCAGGAGGCCCUGGGCCUCGCCUUCCACAGUGUCCUGCUGGUCGGCUGGAACAAACUCCUCGCUGGCCAUCAAUCUCCCAGACAGCCCCGAGGGUGGGAAAGACCCAUAAAGCUCACACUUGAAUAGUGCCCACCAGGCCCUUCCCCUUGUAAACCCCACAACCCAGCUGGAGGGCCAUGGUCAUUGUGCACAGUGACAGUGACCAGGAGGGGUGGAGGCCCUGCCCCCCGCCGAGCUCGGCCUCUGGGAACUGCCCUGGGAGGCCCCCGCAGCCCACCCGGACCCCACCCCCACUCCCAGACGUCUGGCACCUGACCUUGGGCCUGGGCGGCUCUUAGUGCUCUCAGCUUGGUGUCCCCACCUGUGGAGUCCUCCUGUGGGUGGCCCUCGCAGCAGGGCCUGAGAUAGUCCACCAGAACAUCCCAAGGCUGGCUCCCCACAAAGCCACCGUGCUCUGAAGCCAGUGUUCCUUCUGGGGACCAAGUGUGACAGGCCCCGCCCGCCCACAGCCGAGCACCCAGGCUGUGUGGAAGGUGCUGCCGGGUCAGAGGAGCCUCCCCGGCGGGGCGCCUUGUUCACAGGCUGACCCCGUCCAGGCAGCACCCGCCUCACGGUGGCUCCCUCCACAGCACCGGGAGGAUCUUGGAUGUCUCUGCUCCAGGUGAGGGCACCUUGCUUGUGCUGUAGACGACUACUUUGAUGUUUUGAUUUGA
rnacentral:lncRNA from 1 species